CGAGAGUGUUGGGUUAAGUCCCGCAACGAGCGCAACCCCUGCAUUCAGUUGCCAUCGGGUGAAGCCGGGCACUCUGGAAGGACUGCCAUCGACAAGAUGGAGGAAGGUGGGGACGACGUCAAGUCAUCAUGGCCCUUAUGUCCAGGGCGACACACGUGCUACAAUGGCCGGCACAACGGGAAGCGAGUUCGCGAGGACGAGCGGAUCCCUUAAAGCCGGUCGCAGUUCGGAUUGAAGUCUACAACUCGACUUCAUGAAGCUGGAAUCGCUAGUAAUCGCAGAUCAGCCAAGCUGCGGUGAAUACGUUCCCGGGCCUU
rnacentral:rRNA from 1 species